UCCAUUUCCAGCCCUCGGGCAAUUCUUUUCCAAGCUUCUUUCUCUUACAAGAUGGCCUUUGAAGUGCCUUUCACCAGGUGCCUUCGCAGUAAAACCGAAGGGGGGUGUGCAGUGCAGUGUUUACCUCGCGUUCCACCCGUCCAGGCCCCAGACAAAAAACUGCAUAUUUUAUUCCAGAGCGGCCCGCUGGUCCCCGCGGCUCUGCACAGCCCAGGGCAGCCAUUCCAGCGGCUGGCAUGCAAAGCACCAGCGCACAACCCCGACCCAAAGUGUGUGGGCGAGCACACAGACCCCCUCAGUGUUCCCCGGAGCGCGCGUGGGCGGCGGGAGGAGGUGGGGUGAGACCUGGAGGGCCAUGGUCGGCUCCAAGGCCGGGAGGAGGGGGUGGGGGUGGAAAGCUGGAGCUGGAGCAGCCAGGCAGCUGCAACCCAUUAGGGGCGGUGAGCUCAUGGCUGAGCCAGAGUCGCAGCCACAGGAAACGGCAGCGGCAGGAGGGGAGGAGGGGUCUGGGACUGGAGGCGGCCCUGGGACCCGGCCUCCUAGCCGGCCGGGACCUAAGAAGAGCCCAGAGAGACUGAGUCAGCUCUCCCUGGCCCAGUUCUUCUUUCUUCUCCGCUCCAACCUUUCUGCCAGGGGGGUGCCCUUCCCUCGGUCGACCCGCGGUCUGGGUGGUGCUUCUGCCCCUCCUCCACUCCCAGGAGGGCGCGCCCCUUGGCAGGCAGCGCCUCUCCUCCGCCUCCUCGGCUCGCCGCAGCGAGCGCCCCGGCGGCCGCCGCACCCCGACCCUCCCUGGCAGUGCCCACUCUUGCAGGGGGUGCUUCGGAGAGUACUUCUGGAGUCCAAGUGCUCCGCACGGCAUGUUGUCCUGGAGGGGUGGGCUGCCUGCACCCUGGGCUGCCGCCGCCUGCAGGGAGCUCCCGGCGCUCCCAGCCGUCCGCAGCCGGAGUGCUCCCGGGCAGCACUUGGGUUCCUGGUCUUGUGGCGCUUUUCUCUCCCUGAUAGCCUCAGUCUCGGGUCUGCCCCCUGGCACUGUGGGGCCGCCCCCUUCUCUCCGAUCUGUCCAUUACCCCCCCCCCCAGGCAAUCCCUUUUCUCUGCGGGAAUUUCCCUCUUUGGCCAUACCCCUGGCCCCGGCCCAAGCCACAGCUGUGGCCGGUCCCCCAGGGCCGGAUGGGUGGGCCUGCCCUCACCGGCUUGGGGACUGGGAUGGAAAAUGGUGGUUCCAGGCAGAGCCCACCUGGUAGCUCUGAAGGACGUGGAUGACAGUGUCAAGGCCAACACUGCAAGACUGUGUUUGUUUGGGGUACUGUCCUCACUCCUGCCUGUAGUGUGGAGAAAUUGACACCUUGUGGAGCGGGUCUCCUAGGUGAUGGAAGUCAGAGGCCUUUUACAACCUGGAUCCAUCUUGAGACCCUGCAUGCCUCAAUCUCCAAGGGCCUUGCAGCACCACACACAAGAAGCAAA